rnacentral:rRNA from 1 species
ACCGACUGCUAUUUGGGUGAGAAUAAGCCAUGCGAGUUGAAUGGGAUACCUAAAGUUCCCAUAGCAAACUGCUCAGUAACACAUGAUCAACUUACCCUAUAGAGAAAAAUAACCUCGGGAAACUGAGGAUAAUGUUUCAUAAUUGAAUUGGCUUGGAAAAGUUUUUCAAUGAAAGGGAUAAAAAAAUGGUUUUUAUCUGCUAUAGGAUAGGAUCGUGUUCGAUUAUGGUUGUUGGUGAGAUAAUGGCUCACCAAACCGAUAAUCGAUAGGGGCCGUGAGAGCGGGAGCCCCGAGAUGGGUACUGAGACAACGACCCAGGCCUUACGAGGCGCAGCAGGCGCGGAACCUCCGCAAUACACGAAAGUGUGACGGGGUUACCCAAAGUGUUCAAUAGAACUGUGGUAGGUGAGUAAUGUCCCCUACUAGAAAGGAGAGGGCAAGGCUGGUGCCAGCCGCCGCGGUAAAACCAGCUCUUCAAGUGGUCGGGAUAAUAUUGGGCUUAAAGUGUCCGUAGCCGGUUUAGUAAGUUCCUGGUAAAAUCGGGUAGCUUAACUAUCUGCAUGCUAGGAAUACUGCUAUACUAGAGGGCGGGAGAGGUCUGAGGUACUACAGGGGUAGGGGUGAAAUCUUAUAAUCCUUGUAGGACCACCAGUGGCGAAGGCGUCAGACUGGAACGCGCCUGACGGUGAGGGACGAAAGCCAGGGGAGCGAACCGGAUUAGAUACCCGGGUAGUCCUGGCCGUAAACGAUGCAUACUAGGUGAUGGUACGGCCAUGAGCCGUAUCAGUGCCGUAGGGAAACCGUUAAGUGUGCCGCCUGGGAAGUACGGUCGCAAGGCUAAAACUUAAAGGAAUUGGCGGGGGAGCACCACAAGGGGUGAAGCCUGCGGUUCA